AUAAGGUGGAAAUGUUUCCAUUGUUGGACGUACUUUGAGGAAAACAAACUUGAACAUAAAAUAUUGAAAACAAUAAUCGGCAAUCAUAUCGCGGGCCUCGGAACCCACUUUAACACAUUAUUUGAGGAUUUAACUCUUGAUAAGUAUGCCUGGAUUCUUUGCAACCAGAAAUCUGCCAUCUGAGGCAGAUGAAGCCCUCCAGGACUUGUCAAGUGACCGAUCACUGAAGACACGAUUUGCUUCCACCCCACUGAGUGAGGUCUGGCUGUCAGUUGCUGUGGAGUAUCUUGUAUUAGCUGAAGCCACAAUGACCAUUUUAAUUCCUUUUGCCUCUACCUACUCGUGCGAAACAGCUUUUUCUGCCCUGGUUUACAUCAAGAACAAACACUGAUCUAGUCUUCAGUAGAAGGGGAUCUUCGGACUAUCGUCUCAGGUAUCCAGCCAAGAAUGAAACUCCUCUGCUCCAAAAAACAAAUGCACCCAUCACACUAAACAAUCAGGAAUAACAGUUACAGAGAGACCCAGCCAGAUCCUGGAAAGUCGACGAAGUGGCAUUCGCAAAGAGACGGCUGUUAUACGUAUCCGGGAGCUGACGCUUCAAGCCAGUCAUAAGCCCAGACUUCACCCCACCUGUACUGAAUCAAGCAUCAAUCUAGAAGUAUUAGAAAUAUGUGAUACUGGAGGUAAAGGGUUCCAUACUCAAGCCGUAGGUGUAUUCUGAUAAGCAAAGAAAUGAAAGCUGCUGCCGAUAUUGAAAUCCAUUUAAAUGAGUAUGUCAUUACAAUAAAAGGUACUAAGUGUUUGUGACAGUGCCUAAAAUGCAGUAUUGUAGCAUGUGUCUGGACUGACAACUAGUAAAAUAAAGUGAAAGCACACACACAUUUCCUUACAUUCUGUACAACUGAAUUCUUAUCCUUUUCCUGUUAAUGUUUUCCAAAAUACCCUUUUAGGCCGGUUUUGUUUUGUUAAUUACUUUUUUUUGUAUUGUUUUGUUUUGAGUAAGGCCGGAAAGUAUAAUCAGAGAGAAUGUUAUUUUUAAUCAGCAGUCCCAGGCGUUAUGUAAACUGCAUGUGACAUCAAGUUCACUCUCUACUAACUUGUUCUGGAAUUCCUUAUUCCUUAUGCUAAUAACAUCCCAGCUUGCAUUUUCCCACAUACCACAAAAACUUUGAUAUGAGCAAUAAAAAUCGGCCAAUAUAAAAUGGCAAAACAGAGAGGGUAAUCUUAUUGACCUAUAUUCCAAUAUGUGACCAUUCAGCACGGCGUGUAACAGAAUCACGGCAAUGCCAUUUCAUUACAAUUGAAGAUCAAUUGUUAAGGGCAGGCAUUUGAACAGAACUAUUGUCUUAGCUAAUAGUGUUGCCUAAUUAAACUCCAAACUGCCAAGCCAAAUGGUAAUACAAUAACAUCUUUAAAAGAGAUUUUAAAAGAAACCACAGAUCACUAAAAAUAUGCAAUAAAUUGUACUGUAUGCAGUUUCUAACUAAAGAAAGCUACUCAAAUGAUUACAUAACUGCAUAACUGUUUAUCACAGACUGCAGUGAAGUACUGUGAAAAUGUAUUAGAACACCCCCAUUCUGUUAUUUUGAUUUGUUGUGCAUAUGGAAUCAAACCACAGUAACUGAAUCUUGGAAAACUGUCAAAAUAGGCAAAUUAGUGAUUGUGUAAUUUAAUUGAUGACUGACGACUUUAA